rnacentral:ncRNA from 2 species
CUCUUAUCUAGAGCGGUGGAGGGACUGGCCCUAAGAAACCGCGGCAACCUUCAAACACUUCUGUUUGAAAGGUGCUAAUUCCAGCAAAGUGAAAGCUUUGGAAGAUGAGAG